ensembl:lncRNA
GGUGGCUCACAACCGUCCUUUACUCCACUACCAGGAGAUCUGCUGCCUAUUUCUGGCACCUCCGUAGACAUCACAAACCACAUGGUACACAGACAUACAUUCAGGCAAAACACAUAAAAUCAAAUUUCUUAAUCUAAGAAGUUUAAAAAUCUGGGUUAUCUUUAGUAUCCAUUGUCCCUAUUUAAAUAUGUAAGUAUUUAUUUUGGACAAUGGAUGUGAUGGAUAUCCUUCUGUAUGCUGUAUGUUUCUCUUAUUGGUUGAUGAAUAAAGUUGUUUCAGCCAAUGGACCGGCAGGAUGUAUCCAGGCAGGAAAUCUGAGCAAGGAUAGAGAAAGGUAGGAGGCAGAGUCGGGAAGAUGCCAUGGAGCUGCUGAGGAAGAAGGAAACCAAGACCAUGGGGAGACACACAGAUUAAUAAAAAUCCAGAAAACUUGAAGCUACUACUCCAACACCACAUCUGCCUGAAUGCUAUCAUGCUUCCUGCCAUGAUGACAAUGGACUAAACUUGUGAGCCUGUAAGCCAAUCCCAAUUAGAUACUUUCCUUUAUAAGAGUUACCAGGAUCAUGUUGUCUCUUCACAGCAAUAGAACACUAAGACACCACGCCUCUCUGUGGAGCCCUAGGUGAUGUGGAACUUCCUAUGUAGUUCAAGCCAGCCUGAAACUCACAAAGAUCUGACUGUCCCUGCUGCCCUAAUCCUGGGGUUAAAAGCAGUCUCCACUAUUCCUGGAUCUUUGUCCUUUUUAUAGUAGUUUUAGCAUCAAAGAACCAAGAAAGAAGGAGAAAAUAAUUGUAGCUUGUUUGCCAGAGAAAAUUUCUUUGGUGAAGUGGGUGGUGCCCAACAUAUUUUUAUUUUACUCAAAAACAACAGAGAGCUAGAAAUAUAGCUCAUUGGAAGUGUGUCAUGCCCUUGGGUUAAAUGCCCAGCACCAAAUAUUUUUUUUUUUUAAAUUAAAGAUGGUCUACAUAAUUCCAGGACAGCCAGGGCUAUUUAGAGAGAUCGUCUCAACCUCCCGGGUACUGCCUUGAAUUCCUGCCCUGACCUUGUUGGAUGAUGUACUGCCAGCUGUGAGAUGAAAUAAACCGUUUUCUCCUCAGCUGCCUUUUGGUCAUGGUGUUUAUUACAGCAGUAGAAACCCUAAGACCAACACCAGAGCAGUGGUUCCAACAAGCCAGGACAACCAGAAAAGUAUGGUUCCUGGUUCCUUGUCAUCUCUCUGCCUUAUCCAGAUGCUGUAUGUGAGGACAUGACUGAAACUGACACCUGCAUAACUCUUGGUUGGGCCAAGUGAACCAAUGGCUCAUUCGCCUUCCUGUGCUUCACCCAGGUCUCUGCUGUAAACCCUACAAAGUCCCCGCCUGACUACUACAGAGAAGGAAGUCUCCCUUCUCUCCUAUGCUCCCACCUGUGAAUCCACAACAAACUGUUUCUAAAAUUCACUCUGUGUUCCAGGAACAUCAUUCCUCUAAUUCCCUAGACAAGUACGCAGAGGCCACUGAUUCAGUGGACAUUUUGUGUGACUCCCUAGUUUAAACUUACCUGAGGUGUGAGGAAAUACCUGCUUCAAACUCAGUGACACCUCAAAAUUUCCCAGAAUCAGGAUAAAAUUCACAAAAAUUAAAAAAAAAAUUUUAAGUAAGGUGAUGAAGUUAAAGCUUUAGAGCAUUAUAUUUAAUAUUUUUAAAUGAAAAUGUUAGAAAGGG